CGGGGUGUACCUCAGUUGGUAGAGGCGUAGCUUUGGGUGCUAUGAGUCGCUGGUUCGAGUCCAGUCACCCCGACCA
rnacentral:tRNA from 1 species